AUGAACGCUAGCGACAGGCUUAACACAUGCAAGUCGAGGGGCAGCACAGGUAGCAAUACCGGGUGGCGACCGGCGCACGGGUGAGUAACGCGUAUGCAACUUACCUAUCAGAGGGGGAUAACCCGGCGAAAGUCGGACUAAUACCGCAUGAAGCAGGGGCCCCGCAUGGGGAUAUUUGCUAAAGAUUCAUCGCUGAUAGAUAGGCAUGCGUUCCAUUAGGCAGUUGGCGGGGUAACGGCCCACCAAACCGACGAUGGAUAGGGGUUCUGAGAGGAAGGUCCCCCACAUUGGUACUGAGACACGGACCAAACUCCUACGGGAGGCAGCAGUGAGGAAUAUUGGUCAAUGGCCGAGAGGCUGAACCAGCCAAGUCGCGUGAGGGAUGAAGGUUCUAUGGAUCGUAAACCUCUUUUAUAAGGGAAUAAAGUGCGGGACGUGUCCCGUUUUGUAUGUACCUUAUGAAUAAGGAUCGGCUAACUCCGUGCCAGCAGCCGCGGUAAUACGGAGGAUCCGAGCGUUAUCCGGAUUUAUUGGGUUUAAAGGGUGCGUAGGCGGCCUUUUAAGUCAGCGGUGAAAGUCUGUGGCUCAACCAUAGAAUUGCCGUUGAAACUGGGGGGCUUGAGUAUGUUUGAGGCAGGCGGAAUGCGUGGUGUAGCGGUGAAAUGCAUAGAUAUCACGCAGAACCCCGAUUGCGAAGGCAGCCUGCCAAGCCAUGACUGACGCUGAUGCACGAAAGCGUGGGGAUCAAACAGGAUUAGAUACCCUGGUAGUCCGCACGGUAAACGAUGGAUGCCCGCUGUUGGUCUGAAUAGGUCAGCGGCCAAGCGAAAGCAUUAAGCAUCCCACCUGGGGAGUACGCCGGCAACGGUGAAACUCAAAGGAAUUGACGGGGGCCCGCACAAGCGGAGGAACAUGUGGUUUAAUUCGAUGAUACGCGAGGAACCUUACCCGGGUUUGAACGCAUUCGGACCGAGGUGGAAACACCUUUUCUAGCAAUAGCCGUUUGCGAGGUGCUGCAUGGUUGUCGUCAGCUCGUGCCGUGAGGUGUCGGCUUAAGUGCCAUAACGAGCGCAACCCUUGCCACUAGUUACUAACAGGUAAAGCUGAGGACUCUGGUGGGACUGCCAGCGUAAGCUGCGAGGAAGGCGGGGAUGACGUCAAAUCAGCACGGCCCUUACAUCCGGGGCGACACACGUGUUACAAUGGCGUGGACAAAGGGAAGCCACCUGGCGACAGGGAGCGAAUCCCCAAACCACGUCUCAGUUCGGAUCGGAGUCUGCAACCCGACUCCGUGAAGCUGGAUUCGCUAGUAAUCGCGCAUCAGCCAUGGCGCGGUGAAUACGUUCCCGGGCCUUGUACACACCGCCCGUCAAGCCAUGGGAGCCGGGGGUACCUGAAGUCCGUAACCGCGAGGAUCGGCCUAGGGUAAAACUGGUGACUGGGGCU
rnacentral:rRNA from 1 species